AGUGAACGCUGGCGGUAGGCCUAACACAUGCAAGUCGAACGGCAGCACAGUAAGAGCUUGCUCUUACGGGUGGCGAGUGGCGGACGGGUGAGGAAUACAUCGGAAUCUACUUUUUCGUGGGGGAUAACGUAGGGAAACUUACGCUAAUACCGCAUACGACCUACGGGUGCAAGCAGGGGAUCUUCGGACCUUGCGCGAUUGAAGGAGCCGAUGUCGGAUUAGCUAGUUGGCGGGGUAAAGGCCCACCAAGGCGACGAUCCGUAGCUGGUCUGAGAGGAUGAUCAGCCACACUGAAACUGAGACACGGUCCAGACUCCUACGGGAGGCAGCAGUGGGGAAUAUUGGACAAUGGGCGCAAGCCUGAUCCAGCCAUACCGCGUAGGUGAAGAAGGCCUUCGGGUUGUAAAGCCCUUUUGUUGGGAAAGAAAAGCAGCAGGUUAAUACCCCGCUGUUCUGACGGUACCCAAAGAAUAAGCACCGGCUAACUUCGUG
rnacentral:rRNA from 1 species